GGCGGAGUAGGGAGGUCGCCAUAUUGCAUCCAACAGCUGACGGUUUGCAUUUUGGAGCAUGGCAAAAACUACUCCGAAACAACAGAUUCAUUUUAUUAUCCAAAAUGUAAGUCAUAAUUAACCGAUUGAGUGUAGUGAAUACGAUGGAUGAAGUGAAGGAGGCAGAGAGUGUGAUCUCCACCGUUGAUGUUUUUUCCUGAAUAAUCGUCACAUAAUUGCAACUGAAUGACAAAGCUGUUUUAGAACAAUUCCAACAAUUUGUGGAAGUGAUCUUGCAGCAGUUAACAGUGAAAAAAUUGAGAUGGAUUUCUUCCAGGUACGGAUGAAAUACCUCGACCGAUUUCAUCGAAAAAGUGUCCGAAAGAAAUCUUCUUUCCAAUCAAUCUCACGAUCUCAUCUACAGGAGCAGGGUGCAAAUAUUGUUAUCUCUUCGUGACACUGACGUAUGUUAUUCUACUGAGAAAAUGUGGAAUGACAUUCCAAUAUUAGAAAUCGAAGUCGUGGUAGAGCAGCCGAUGUUUGGAGGAAUUGUCUUUUUAAUGAACCGAGCCAAUGGAAAAAGUAUGAUUGUACUUGUGGGAGCUAUAUCCAACCCAUUUCGAUCUUGGAGCCGGAUAUUACUAAAUCAUUGAUCACAUCAAACAAGUUACUUUUACCUCUGGAGUUUCAUGAAGUUUUAAAAAAGGUGCAAUGUCGCCGACCUCUUUGUAGCAGCAGAUACAAUGUACAGACAACACCCAAUUUCCAUCUAUUCAUUCAUUUGAAGCGAUCAACUAAGUGUUUGCUGGGGAAUAUAUUUAAAAUGAUUGAAAUGGGCGAUCAGUAUCAAAUUGCUGGGGUCAUCAGUGUAUUUUAUGACCGAUACGUGGCCUUUAGUUAAGUGAAUGGAAAGUGGUGGUUGUACGACAACCAGCAGCCAAACAUCCAAAUGACAUCAGGGGAGGAAUUCUGCGCGUUUUAUGUUAACAUAAACUCUCAUUAUUUCGCUUCCGCCAGGUGGAGCGCAGGCUUUAUUUAUGUCGUAUUUCCAAUUGGUUUUGGAACGUUUGUUUGGCGAAUAAUGAGGGGAGGGAUAAGAAUUACAGUAUGGCCGCCCCGCGCUUUUAU